GCAAACUUGGUCAUUUAGAGGAAGUAAAAGUCGUAACAAGGUUUCCGUAGGUGAACCUGCGGAAGGAUCAUUAUUGAAUUCAAAUCAUCUGUGGCUUCGGUCCGGAUGUGCCAACAGGUAACACUGUUGGUAAUUCUAUCCAUAACACCUGUGAACUGUUGGAUGCUUGCAUCCACUUUUAUACUAAACAUUAUUGUAACAAAUGUAGUCUUAUUAUAACUAAUAAAACUUUUAACAACGGAUCUCUUGGCUCUCGCAUCGAUGAAGAACGCAGC
rnacentral:misc_RNA from 1 species